AGUGCACAAUCCCGGCGAGUGCAGGCUUCAUUGACGACCUGACACCGGCGGAAUCGGACGUCCACCGUCCCCGGCACAAUUAAGCAGUGGCUCUCUCACGCAAACUUCGUCUUCGGCGGAUGAAGGUGUCCAUCCUGUCACUGAGAAUGAAGCAAUUUCGGCGGAGGAGCAGACUUUCUUUUCCGUCUCCAAACGAGCGAAGAGGCGCAGGGGCGAGACAAUAACGCCCAGAAGUUAUUGAAAUGAAACGCCAUUAAAUGAGCUGACACAAGAAGAGGAAGACACAGAAUGAGAACCAGCAGUGCUAGCCUUCACCGCGGAGGGAAGGAAGGGAAGCAGAAAACCCCCCACAGCAGAACACAAUGAGGACUAGACAAGCGUAAUGAAAAAUAGGUCCAGACACGAAGACGGCAUAAGACACAGACACACACACACACACACACACACACACACACACACACUGCAACGAGGCUAUCUGUGGUCUACCAUCACCCUGCCACACACAUACACACGGCUGUUACGGUAAGAACCACAGACAGAAUCAGGAGUGAGGAAGACAAUCAUGGUGUGACUGUGAGAAAAACAAACUCAUUAUCCACUGAUGUUGAUUUCCCCGUCACGUGAACCAAAUUGACUCCACGUUUCCCAAAAACACAGAGAGUUAAUUUGAGUCAUUUCACUUGUCAGGAUACACUCUAAAAGCUAGUUUAUAAUUCUUACAUUUGGAUUAUAAAACACAGAAAGACAUGAUGCGUCUCUGUAUGUGUGAGCAUGAAGAAAAAAAAAUCUGCUUUAUUUUAUUUCCCUGUUUCCAUCACUCAAACCAGCCUUCACUAGUUAACUUGAACAGCUGCACUGCAUAUUCCACAAACCCCAGCUACCCCCUUAAACCCACCCUGUGCCCCUCCCUGGCUUCCCAGCAUCCUCUCUCGCCCUGACUCCAAAAAAAUAGUGCGUGCAGAAAUUACAGCACACGAGGCAGCGUUGUGGGAAACCCCUCCCUCAUUUUAAGUGCUAUGCAUGACCUUAUUCUGAUAUGUUGGGGGGGGGGUUAUUUUAAUCUCCAUUUCACCGUUAAACAGCUGACUGUUCAUUUGUUUCUACACAUACAGUAGCUAUAGAACAGUUUAUUUAUAUAUAUUUAAUAUUUAUCUUUUUGGCAUGUGUGCAUUACUGAGUGUGGAAUGUCUGAAGGCGGGUUUUUUUUUGUUUUUCCCAGUGAAUAAUUCUGUUUGCAUGCAACAAACCGGCAGUGGCUGACCAAAAAAAGAAUAGGCUCGGAUAGAAAACCAUGCAGUGAAAUAGAUUUUGUGUUAUUGUUAAUGCAGGUCAAAGAAGGGGGGGGCAAAAUAAAAGUGUAUCAGUCAAAAUAAGAAAUACUACUAAGUGCCGUUUGUAGGCAAGCUACUUAAAUCAGAGCGCGACCCCAUUAUCUUGGUUCCUAGCUUCAGGUUAACUCAUGGCACCACCCUUGUGGCGAGCCUGUUCCUAACCAGCUGUAAUGACACACUCCAUCAGUUUGGCUCUGCUCGUGCGGCGCUUGCUUGGUUAACAGUCGGCCCGAUAUGCAGCGAGUGCGUGUGUGUGUGUGUGCACCGGCUAUUAAAACACUUCAGUCAGAGACGAAAGGACUCGCACUGUUAAUGGAUAUAUCUAUCGAUGUUCCCAUUUAGCAGCACACUGUAAACGAUAGGGCAAUGAUUGUGUUGAAGACAGGAGGAGUGGAGAGUGGUUUGGGCCAAUGAUAAUGACAAGGAAGGUUACAAUAUGGCGCCCUGCACAGUCUCUCUCUCUCUCUCUCUGGUUUAUGUGUGUGUGCAAGGGUAAGAGCGAGUGAGACCGUGGUUCUCUUCCUCCAUAUCUCGCUGCUGUCGCUCCCCCAGUCGACUUGCCAUUUUUCACUUCUCUUUUUUUUUUUUCUUGCCUCUCCACUCCUCUCUCACGACAAUACUCACUGCCGCUAGUCCACAUCAGUGCCCGUCUCUCCUGCACAUGUUUUUCUCUUUUCUCAAUGGCCCUGCAGUGUAGAUUUUUUUUUUUUGCGAUGGUAGGGGUGAAAUAUUAUAAAACAAAGUGAAAGACAGAAUAAAGCAGCAGAGGCAUCUAAAUAGUUAGGAUAGCAUGUUGUCCUUGAAAUAUUGAUUCACUCACUCCUAGUUUUUCCCCUCUUCUGUGUGUGUGUGUGUGUGUUGUCAUUUCCAAUCAGUGUGUGUGUGAUGAUUAUGAAUCGAGUCAGUCUGCCUGCAGGUUUGGCAGGAGACCACCGCCAGCUGGACUCAGACCCCUACUCCAGUGUGUCGGUUUGUGUUAAUGUGAGUGUGGUCGCACAUGUCAGGGCGUAUCUGUCAGCGCGGUGACAACCUGAGGAUAAAAUAAUGAAAAGUAUUCAAAAUAACACAAAGGAGUCAAGUUUUGCCUCUGUCGUUCGAGAUGUAUAAAGACGGAUUGAAACUAGGCGUCUAGAGCUGCAAAUCUGGCAAGUAUUUGGCUGUUUAACGUGCAAGUGCAUGCAACUCUGCAUUUGCCACAAUUACUGUAAACAACCACAUUAUUUCUCAUCCGUAGUGUUUAUGUUUCUUUAAAAUGUUGUCGUUGUAGUAAAAAGCCCAUCCGUGUCUGUGUGUGUGCACGUCCAUAAUCGUAGGGCAGAAGAUUAAGUGGGCAAUGCCAUUAUAGCUGUGAGGAGAUGGAACAAGUCCGCAUACAUACAUAUAUUCACACAGUUACUCACUCACACACACACACACACACAGAAACACACAGACCUGGAGGCGUGUGAGCAUUAAGUCAGGCAGCUAAACAGAUCACGUCGUGGUAUGAUAUCUGCAGACAGGCAGACAGAGGAGGCCGGUUUGUACCUGCAGGCAGAGAGCAACGACUCACAGAACCAUCGCCAAGAAUUCCCUCCCCCUCCUUAGAGACCGGGAGAGGGAGUAACUGAAGGUGAGAGAAAGACAGGAAAGACAAAGUGGAGUUUCCACUGUAAGGUGUGUGUCUAUGUCUGUGUUUAGUGUGACCCAGUGUCUGUACACAACUGAAUAUCGUCACAACAUACUGUAACUUUAAACAGAAAGCACCGUUUUUGCUGCGGAUAAGAAAAGUGCGAUAACCACAGUGGAGACUCUGCGCUUAUCAGAUACAUUUUCAUGAAGAAAAAAAAGGUUCAAAUAAAUAAAGGUGCAUUUAAAACUGAAAUUUAAACUGUGAGACACGAGGCUUAUAUACAGAUUUUUGUUUCCAAGGAACUAAAAUAAGCAAGCGAAGUUACAAAUUACGACAGUGACACGGAAGACGUGAAAAAAUGUCGUUACACCACAGUUAAGUCCAACAUUCUGCUUUACAUCCGCUGAUGAAAGGAAAUCCUUUGACAUUAAAGAAGAACAACUCAUUCACACGCUUCUGUGAUAUCAAGUGCAGAUGGUUCUAUUGUUAGGUCGGAGUAAUUCAAUCACCUCCUGUAUGUCUUUCUGGAAUUACUGGGCUUUUUUGACGGAGUCCUCAGCACCAAUUGUGAAACAUUUGACAGUAUCUGUUACGCAAACUUGUUCUACUAGUUUGCUAUUGUUAACAUUCUCCCUAAGACUUCCUGACAUUUUUCAUUCAUUUGCAAUCUGCUCUACAUAUGUGGCCUUUAUCUUCCAGGACAGUUGUGGUCUGCUGACCACAAAGCAACUUCGGACCUCAGUGGCAGUUAUGGAAUAAAGGCGAGCUCUUGAUUUACAUCUCGACGCGCACGCCCACACACACACACACACACACACACACAUCAGUUCGACUAUUCAUUUCCCCUUAACGUCACAAAUGUGCUUCUGCUCUCUUUAAUCUGCCCAUGUCCUUCAGCUAAAUUUGUUUCGCUCAUUAGGACGAUCAGCCGCGCACUGCGAGGUUUUUAUUCUCGUCUUUUUCAAAGCCUCUUUUCGUCGGCCUGAAAAGCGCCUCCUGAAAUUUUUACAAGGCACAACUCUCUACGCCACAGUCACUUAUCUAAAAAUGAUUCAGUGGUUAAAUGUCAGAGCUGUCCGCACCAUUAAGGCCAGCACGUUUGAAGGGAGGACACCCUCAGCUGCCCUCUCCUCCUCACAUCUGACUCCCCCCUCCUCCAGACUCAGGCUGGUUCGAGGGCUGAUGUGCAGACCUUGUCAUUCAGAUUAAGGCCACAUUGUCAGCUCAGGGCCCCUUUCUCUCUGCGUGCAUGUCCUGGAUCUUUCUCCCUACUGUCACCCUCGUCCUGCGGCCAGAGAAGACCUUAUAAAGCAACAUUCCUCCUCAUGCAUUUCUGUCAAUUUCAACACUGUCACUCAAAUCACUGUGCGGGAGAAUGGAGAGAAGCUGAGUUAGCGGAAUCCCUCACAGCAAGGACUGUGCUUUUCAGUCCAGGCUUGGGAGAACUGUCAGCAGUUAGCAAAGUACUUUAAGUUAGGUUUUAUUUUUUUGCGUUUGCUCACAAUUUACAAGCUUACAGUGUCUCCCUUCUUAUGAGACACAGGAAAUGACAAAGUAGAUCUUGUGAUCUGAAGAGAAGCAGCACUUUUUUGCUGUCGGGCAUGUCGUAGAAAACUUUUAAAUUCUUUAGUUUUUGCUUCUUUAAAGUGUUCUUGCUUCAUCGUAAAGAUUAGUCACAGUGUUAUUUAAAUGAAGCUUCCAGGGUAUAAAAGUAUAUACACCACAUGAUUAUUGUCACUUCACGUCCUGUACGGUAAAAGUGUCCCAACACCGUAUGAAUCACCCAACCACAUCUUGACUCACUGCCACAGAUUAAUUUUCACACUGAAGCCUUGUGGUAUUAGAUUAUUGUGCUUUGCACACUCUUCUCCUUUUCUCUCGAUGAGCAACAGUGAUUAAGCACUGUGCAAUGAAGUCUCUCAUGAAAGAUGGUGGACAGUUUCUUUACUGGUAAUACUACAAGAGAAAAAAACAACACCACGUAAUCUUCAGCCCGUGCCACAUCAUAGCGAAAAUAUGAGGCACUAUUGAUCUGGGUAAGUUGUCAGUUUCAUCCUCCACCUUGCAUGAAGCGCUCCAAGCUUGUGGCUCUCUAGAGGCUGCACUGCUGUGCACAUAGUGACUGGCUGAAGCCUCCGCCCAGGUGCUGUGUUUACUAAAAGCCACAAAUGAGUCAUGAGUUUCAAGAUGACUUCUCUCCUCUAAAUGAUGCUUGCUGUGAAAGAAAAUGUGUUCCCAUGCACCGACAUGUACACCGGUCUUUGGCGUCAUAAUUACCAUGUGUCCUGGAAGUUAAUCACACGUACACAGCAUCUCAUUUUACCAUCGCGGGGAUUAAAGAAGAGAUAGAGCUCACAGCCAAUUCUGCUUCUUUUUACGAGGGAGGAAAGCACAGGGAAAACACGUUAGGCGUAGCAAGGCAGGGUGUGAGCAAAUAUGUUUAAUGUUAGAAAUUUAAAUAAUAGAAGAGUAUGGAAUUCAUUUUGGGUUGGUUUUUUUAGCAGAAAUCCAAUAUGGCAAAAAAAAGAUGAAAAAAGAUCAAAGUGUACCUUCGUCAGUAAAAGGAAAUGAGGAUUUACUGCAGAGGGAGCUAAUUACAAGCCUCUUACUCAGACUUCGUCUACGAGUUUUCAUCAGGUCCGUGCUCAUCUCGGUGAACAUUCAACGCUGUCGGUGAGUUUGAGCUAACUUGACAAAACCAUCGACCGUUGAUUGUACCCUGAGGCGGGGCUAAGUCAACUCUGCAUCUUGAAAAAGAAGUCAAACACGGGCAGAGACCUGCACACAGAUAUGGCCAGGGACUCUUUGAACAAUCGCAGGAAGAUCAAAGUGUCCCUCUUACACAAGCAACAACAACAACAACAAAAAACACUUCCAGCUUCCAAACCACAGCAAAGGUCACAAUCAACAUUCAUUGCUGUCGGUGGGUUUAACUGUGUGGAAGAGCUCACUGAACGAUGAAUGCAACUGUGUCCCAGAUUUCAUCCAACUGUCAGAAGGAAUAGCGUCACGAUGUGCUGAUGAUGGCAUUAUUUAUUUCUCUGCCUGUGAAUUUAGAAGCAGUUCCGAUGUGAGAUAAACUAGGAUGCAAGAUCAAUGUCCUUUAAAGAAAACUACCUAUAAUGUAUUGCACCUAAGGAUUAAUGGAGAAUUUAGCAACAAAAAUCUGUACGGAUGUGUUCAUGUGAACAGAUGUGCUUCAAAAUUAAAAAAAAAAAAGAAAAACCUUUCUUGGAAAUAUAUUAAAAUUAUUCUACAUAUUAACAGUAAAUCACUUAGAUGUAAAAAUGUGGGAUUUUUGUAUGAUGUGUAUUAAAAUUAAUUAUUUGUUUGCACUGAUGUUUCAUGAUGACAAAACAUUAAAGAACCAUUACACAA